GGGGUUGUAGCUCAGUGGCAGAGCACUUGCAUUGCAAGCGUGAGGUCCUGGGUUUGGUCCCCAGCACCACG
rnacentral:tRNA from 1 species